CAAGUCGAACGGUAGCGGGCCUUCGGGUGCCGACGAGUGGCGAACGGGUGAGUAAUGUAUCGGAACGUACCAUUGAGUGGGGGAUAACGUAGCGAAAGUUACGCUAAUACCGGCAUAUUCUCUCCGGAGGAAAGCAGGGGACCGCAAGGCCUUGCGCUCUUUGAGCGGCCGAUAUCAGAUUAGCUAGUUGGUGAGGUAAAGGCUCACCAAGGCGACGAUCUGUANCGGGUCCUGAGAGGAUGAUCCGCCACACUGGAACUGAGACACGGUCCAGACUCCUACGGGAGGCAGCAGUGGGGAAUUUUGGACAAUGGGGGCAACCCUGAUCCAGCCAUGCCGCGUGAGUGAAGAAGGCCUUCGGGUUGUAAAGCUCUUUCGGCCGGGAAGAAAUCGCAUGGGUUAAUACCCUGUGCGGAUGACGGUACCGGCAUAAGAAGCACCGGCUAACUACGUG
rnacentral:rRNA from 1 species